rnacentral:rRNA from 1 species
UGGGGAAUAUUGGGCAAUGGGCGAAAGCCUGACCCAGCAACGCCGCGUGAAGGAAGAAGGUUUUCGGAUUGUAAACUUCUGUCCUAAGUGACGAAGGAAGUGACGGUAGCUUAGGAGGAAGCCCCGGCUAACUCGUGCCAGCAGCCGCGGUAAUACGUAGGGGCGAGCGUUGUCCGGAAUGACUGGGCGUAAAGGGCGUGUAGGCGGCCGAUUAAGUAUGGAGUGAAAUUCCAGCUUUCAAGGUUGGACUUGCUUGUAGACUGGUUGGCUUGAGUGCGGAAGAGGUAAGUGGAAUUCCCAGUGUAGCGGUGAAAUGCGUAGAGAUUGGGAGGAACACCAGUGGCGAAGGCGACUUACUGGGCCGUAACUGACGCUGAGGCGCGAAAGCGUGGGGAGCGAACAGGAUUAGAUACCC